UGGCAGGGUCAUAGGACAAUAGUGGA
rnacentral:piRNA from 1 species